rnacentral:lncRNA from 1 species
AUGUGGGUUGGUUCCUUCCUGAUAAACUCGGUCCAAAUUAGAAAACCCAAAGCUCUAGAUUCUAACAGCAUUUCUCUAAUCUUUUUAUUAUUAUGUGUAAUCAUCCUCUUUCCUCUGUUUUUCUUUAGUCCGCUGAGGAGACCUGUUCGAUAUAGAGACCUGGGCUGGAGUCAGCAAGGGGACAGCAUCCACUCAGGAAAUUUCUCACCACCACACCCACAUCCAUCCCACCAGCAUCAACAUCCGCAUGCACAUGCUCACCCUCAUGUGCAUCCACACCCGCAUCCUCAUCCUCAUCCUCAUCAGCACCAACAUUCUCACUCAGCAAUGGUUGUUGAUGUCACUCCGGUGCCUGUUACUUUGCCUAUACCAAUGUUUACAAAUCCCCAUCUAAAUUUACGUCCCCAACCACUGUUCCUACACCACAAGUCCACGUUUCUCAGACUUUUGCCACUGCUCCAUUUCAACCCAAUUAUCAAGUGAGUAUUGUAUUCAAUCCAAAAAUGUAUCUACAUUUUUUUAAUUCAUAUCUGAGAGAUGACUUUGAAGGAAUUCAGAUAAAUAAAAGCCCAUUAUUAAGUAUUUCAUUAUUAUCAUCAUUAUUUUAAUAUUUCAUUAUUAAGAUAAUGAUAAAUUAUUUAUCAUUGUUUGAAGCAAAUUUUUACAGAGAAUUAUUUUGUCUACAAUUAGCAAAAUAAUUAGAAUUUCAGCCUAAGUAAGAAUAUUCGCCAAGGCAUUCAACAAACUGCCUGAUUUGACCAUUUGCCUGCGACAUAUGGAGGUAUUUCUGCCAAACAGAACUAUGUGCUUUAAGACAUAAGCCCUGAGACCCAUAAGAAUACAUUCAUAACAGGGUUCACGUCAUAAUGCACAUAGUUCUGUUUGACAGAAAUACGUCCAUAAGUAAGUGGGGAACCAAUGCUUCAAGCUCUAACUAUUUGAAAAUAUGUGCUUACACAUCGUGCUGUAAUGAGACGAGAUCCUCAACAACUCUUUCUCAGCAUGCCAAUUUUCUUAGCAGAAGGAAGAAAAACAGAAGAAACGAAUCAAAAAAAGGAAAGAAAGAAACCGGUUGAAAGUAGAGAGAGAGAAAGAAUUCUAUCCCUGCUGGAGAUGAAACAAAAGCCCACUAUUUCCUCAGGUCUCAACUCCUUCCCACUAUCUCUUUCUUGUGUUAAAAUAGCUUUAGGACUGAGGAAAUCAAGUUUGAUUGCUUUUGUGAAAAAUCUGUUCUGACAUUAUAAUUUUUUUUUAAGAAAAAGGAAUUAUCAUUGCACCAGACGCCCUGUAAAAAAAUAUUUUUCCUAUUUUUAAUAGAGUGGGUGAGUGAGUUGAGUUUUUAAGUAUGCAUAAAUGGACUGCGUUUAGCAGAAGGGAACCAAGCCACAUCAGCUAUUGCCAAAUUUAACUUGGCAAUUUAAUAUUUUACAUGUAAAUGUUUGUUCGGAUUCCUGUGAACAUUUUUUAAGGAAUUUGGUUUGCACUGUGCAGAAAAUUCACGGAAAUUUGGGCAUAAAUCUGUACAACCUUUUCAUGUAAAAUAAAUAAAUUGCC